UACGGAGGGUGCGAGCGUUUGUCCGGAAUCAUUGGGCGUAAAGGGCGCGUAGGUGGCCCCUCAAGCGUGCGGUGAAAGUCAGGGGCUCAACCCCUGAUCGGCCGUGCGAACUGGGGAGCUUGAGCACUGUAGAGGCAGGCGGAAUUCCGGGUGUAGCGGUGGAAUGCGUAGAGAUCCGGAAGAACACCGGUGGCGAAGGCGGCCUGCUGGGCAGUUUUGCUGACACUGAGGCGCGACAGCGUGGGGGAGCAAACAGG
rnacentral:rRNA from 1 species